rnacentral:misc_RNA from 1 species
AAGUCGUAACAAGGUAACCGUAGGUGAACCUGCGGUUGGAUCAUUAACAAUUUUAGCAGGAGCUUGUCUUUGGAUGAGAUCCUGUGAAAAAUCAAUCACCUUUUGUGCACUGUCUGUCUCUGGCGGCCGGGGCAAAGUCAACCUUAAUCGAGGUUGCAUAGCUUAUGCUCUGUCAGCUUGGUACACUUGUGGACCAGGCCGUGGACAACCCGCCAACCACUUUGUUUAACUCCCUGUUUUAAUCUCCUGUCUAACAAUUUUUCUUUGUAUUAACAUACAAUAAAACUUUUGGCAACGGAUCUCUUGGCUCUC